AUGUCAAAUCAUCAUGCCCUAUAUGUCCUGGGCAACACACGUACUACAAUGGCUACUACAGAGAGAGACAAAUCCGCGAGGAAGAGUAAACCUAUAAAAGUAGUCUCAGUUCGGAUUGAAGGCUGAAAUUCGCCUUCAUGAAGUCGGAAUUGCUAGUAAUUGCAGGUCAGCAUACUGCAGUGAAUACGUUCCCGGCUCUU
rnacentral:rRNA from 1 species